ensembl:lncRNA
AACAAAACUGCCUAGUUUCUUAGCUUGACCCAUGGAGACUCUGCUUUUCAUAAUAACACUGCUUAAGGAUACCAGAUCUUUUUAAAGCUGUUUUGAAGAUCAAAAAACCAUCUUUAGAGUUCAUUACUAUUAGCAAAACCUCAGUAACAAAAGUCUGAUCUUUGGUGGUGGAGAUGAGGGGGCAGAUGUGGAGAGAGAGGGAAAGGACGGUUAUUUACCGAGUUCUAAUUGCCGAGCACUGUGUCAGGGCUUCACCUGUUGCUUUCCCCAUCAACCACAUAUAGUUUAAAAGUGGGUCUUCAGAGCUCCAGGUCAAACAGCAGGCUCUUUAUUUCCAUUUCAGGAAUCCCCGUUGCCUCCUUUAAGAGACAAGAAGACCCACAAAUCCUGUCUCGCUGUUCCUAAGGUACAGAAACUGAAGUCAUUUUUCUCUUCCUUUCUUGGAAAAAUGCUGUUAUGUCUGCAGAGCAUAAGUCUGUAAAAACACAAAAAUUAAUAUAUCAUAUCCAUCUUCAAAGUAGCCAUAUUUGGGAAUAGGGAAACUACAGUGAGUAUUUUUCCUGCAGCAAAUCAGAGGCUAAUCCAGACGCCCAAGCCCCAGAAUGCACCUGUGUUCGGCAGCUGUAUCUGGGGAAGUCACCCAGCAUGAUCUACUGUGCUGGCUCUUUCCAAGAGGAGCCUCAGAAGGAAGGAGAAAAAUGUCUGAGGGCUCGUCUGGGGAGAAAUAAAAGAAAUAAUUGUUCUAAAAAAAAGGAGAAAUUGGUAUUUCACCGGCAGCCUAAGAUGCACAGAAGCACUUUAAACUCCUGUGGCUGGCAUCCGUCAUCUGAAAAUCACCAACUUGUUUAAAAAUCCCUCACCGGGGGAUUGUGCUGCUGCUGCCAGGCAGCCUGAAACCGAGUGUGUCUAGAUACUCAUAUGUCCUCGACGGGGGCCCUGGGGGACUCUGGUGUGCUGCGGCCUGAAUGCCUCUUGCCAACAUUCGUAUGGGAACGGCAGAACAAGAAACUCGAUUUCAGCACAAGUCAGCUGCUAUGGAGAAGGAGCCACGUGGAAGUGAGGUUUCGCCAUCAAGGUUUCAAUGAGCCCCAGGUGUACGGCAAAGGGGGAGGAUAUUUGCCCCAGACAAGGUCCCCUAUUGCAGUGCACACUGUUCCCGGUUCUGGCUUUCUUAACACAGAGACAAAAUGAUCCUGCCUGGAAACAACGCAAGUGUUGUGAUACACAGAGCUGUGGGGUGAUGGAAAUCAAACUAACAGUGGUUUAAGCCUUGAUGAAACUGAGCUAUGAUGAAACAUGGCACGAGGUGGUUUGGGAAGUGCGUGUCUAGUCUGCUGCUGCUGCUGCUAAGUCGCUUCAGUCGUGUCCGACUCUGUGUGACCUCAUAGACAGCAGCCCAUUAGGCUCCUCUGUCCCUGGGAUUCUCCAGCUAAAGUGACUUGACUGAUCCAAGCAGGAUUUCUCAGUCAGAAAAGUAUAUGAGGGUCACCUCAACUAGACAGCUGCACAUGGAUCGAAGCCAAAAUGAGAGCCCGGAUGGGGGUCUCCACGUGAGAUACAGAUGAAAGAGGAGAGAGUUGAGAAAAACAAAACAAGCAGACCAGCACUGAGAAUAGGAAAAAGGCUUCCACAUCACCUUCCUCCUCUGACCACUCUUCCUCUGCAGCCCAAGGACUGAAUGAGAAGGUUGUACCAACUAUCACUUCUGGGUAUUUUGGUUGUACAUGCACAGAUCAAAGAGAUGACUACUGGGUGGUCUUAGUGGACCAACUGUGAUGUGAAGCUCCACCAAGACUGCAUACAUAAUGCGGCCUCUGUAUGCAUCCAUGUAAUAAGGAUGUCAGCAUGAUGCUGUGAAUUUCUGGGUAUCACUGUCAACCUGGAUUCUGUGUCCUGCAGUCCUCUGGAUGUUGAUACACUCCCUUCUCCCUGGUUCAGAGUUAUCCCAAGUAAAUGGCCAUCGGUUCCUUUGGAGCU